CAAAGGCUUCGGCCGGUAAAGGAUGGGGAUGCGUCUGAUUAGCUUGCCGGCGGGGUAACGGCCCACCGGGGCGACGAUCAGUAGGGGUUCUGAGAGGAAGGUCCCCCACAUUGGAACUGAGACACGGUCCAAACUCUACGGGAGGCAGCAGUGAGGAAUAUUGGUCAAUGGGCGCGAGCCUGAACCAGCCAAGUAGCGUGCAGGACGACGGCCCUAUGGGUUGUAAACUGCUUUUAUACGGGGAUAAAGUAUGCCACGUGUGGUUUAUUGCAGGUACCGUAUGAAUAAGGACCGGCUAAUUCCGUGCCAGCAGCCGCGGUAAUACGGAAGGUCCGGGCGUUAUCCGGAUUUAUUGGGUUUAAAGGGAGCGUAGGCCGGGUUUUAAGCGUGCCGUGAAAUGUCGGGGCUCAACCUUGACACUGCGGCGCGAACUGGAGUCCUUGAGUGCGCGGAACGUAUGCGGAAUUCGUGGUGUAGCGGUGAAAUGCUUAGAUAUCACGAAGAACCCCGAUUGCGAAGGCAGCAUACGGCAGCGCUACUGACGCUGAAGCUCGAAGGCGCGGGUAUCGAACAGGAUUAGAUACCCUGGUAGUCCGCGCGGUAAACGAUGGAUGCCCGCUGUUGGCGAUAUA
rnacentral:rRNA from 1 species